AUAAACUCAGUUAUUAAUUUAUGCUUAAAUCAUAUAUCCUUAGCUACAAGGUGCUCAUGACAGAUAAAGCAGCCUUCCCACCACCUAAUGGGACUGAGUUUGCAAAGACUCAAGAUUUCUCUGAACAAUAAAACAAAUAAUAUUAUUGCUUGCCUCUCUCAAAUAAUAUUAUUGCUUGCCUCUCUUAUGUUCUUUAGCUUCUAUUCUACUGUACAAUACUUUGGCUGAUCAAAAAGUUUAGANNNNNNAAAACCCCAAACGGUGCCAUACAAUGAUCUGAAACAACAAAUAGGAACUGCAGCAUGGAAGGAAAUUAAUCCUAUGAUCGACAACAAUCUGAACUCCUUGCUCCCAAUUCUGGCUCUCUUCCAGGGACAACAAUCUUCGUUCCCUUGAGAAGUGAAGCAUUUCCUCCACUUCCAUGUUCGUCAUUUGCAACAAGGCUCUUCUUGCUGACAGUUCGAUAAAUCUCUGUCAGGACAGAAAGGAAAGCCGAUUCAACAUUAGUGGACUCAAGGGCUGACGUCUCCAUGAAGAAGAGGUUUUCCUUUUGGGCAAAUUCUUUGGCAUCCUCAGUUGGCACAGCUCGAAGGGUCUCCAGAUCAGACUUGUUACCUACAAGCAUGAUGAUGGUGUUAUUAUCAGCAUGCUCCCGCAAUUCCUCUAACCACUUUGCUAUAUGAUCAAACGACUGACGC
rnacentral:misc_RNA from 1 species